rnacentral:lncRNA from 1 species
UCACACCUUUAGAAUACAAAUGGAAUGAGAGCCUUGACAUCACUAGGGAAGUCUUCAAAUUUGGAAAGGUACCAUUUACAUACCCCAAAUACGUAUACCAAAUUGUGUGCACGCAUAUCACACUUUUAGAAUACAAAUAGAAUGAGAGCCUUGACAUCACUAGGGAAGUCUUCAAAUUUGGAAAGAUACCAUUUCCUAGUGGCAUAACUCCUCCCCACCAAGAGUCCUGCUGUGCCAAGAGCGAAGGACAAUGCAUACCAUGUUUGAGCAAUGCAAGUCACCCCCACAAACCCUAAAAUCUCAAAGAGGUAGUGAGGGCAUAUCACCAAAUUAAAUAAACCCCCUUUUGGAAUCUUGUACUCUUUGUCACCCUGAUUUCUCAGCUUUGAAAGGAGGUAAUGGUGGUAGAAAUUACCAAUUUGCCCCAUCAGAAACACCACAAUUCCAACAUGUUUUAGGUCAAGUGAGGGCUCUUGGAGCCCUAGGGUUAGAUAUUGGGCAUGGAUGAAGUUUGCUGUGAUGAUGAAGUAGUUGAACGCCUAG